rnacentral:rRNA from 1 species
GAUGAACGCUAGCUACAGGCUUAACACAUGCAAGUCGAGGGGAAACGACAUCGAAAGCUUGCUUUUGAUGGGCGUCGACCGGCGCACGGGUGAGUAACGCGUAUCCAACCUGCCCAUCACUUGGGAAUAACCUUGCGAAAGUAAGACUAAUACCCAAUGACAUCCCACGAAGACAUCUGAAUGGGAUUAAAGAUUUAUCGGUGAUGGAUGGGGAUGCGUCUGAUUAGCUUGUUGGCGGGGUAACGGCCCACCAAGGCAACGAUCAGUAGGGGUUCUGAGAGGAAGGUCCCCCACAUUGGAACUGAGACACGGUCCAAACUCCUACGGGAGGCAGCAGUGAGGAAUAUUGGUCAAUGGGCGAGAGCCUGAACCAGCCAAGUAGCGUGCAGGAUGACGGCCCUAUGGGUUGUAAACUGCUUUUAUAAGGGAAUAAAGUGAGUCUCGUGAGACUUUUUGCAUGUACCUUAUGAAUAAGGACCGGCUAAUUCCGUG